GGUCGCAACUAUAUCAAGUUGGAAAAACCCGUUCUCGUCUGAUCACCGAAGGUAAGCAACGUCGGGCCCGGUGAGUAUUUGGAUGGGUGACCGGCUGGGAAUACGGGGUGUUGCGGCCG
rnacentral:rRNA from 1 species